rnacentral:rRNA from 1 species
UACGUAGGGGGCAAGCGUUGUCCGGAUUUAUUGGGUUUAAAGGGUGCGUAGGCGGUUCUAUAAGUCAGGGGUGAAAUACGGCAGCUCAACUGUCGAGGUGCCAUUGAUACUGCAGAACUUGAGUACAGACGAGGUAGGCGGAAUUGACGGUGUAGCGGUGAAAAGCUUAGAUAUCGUCAAGAACACCGAUAGCGAAGGCAGCUUACUAGACUGUAACUGACGCUGAGGCACGAAAGUGUGGGGAUCAAACAGG